AAACGCUUUUGUCUCUCUCUCACU
rnacentral:siRNA from 1 species